CCCUUAGAUGUUCUGGGCUGCACGCGCGCUACACUGAUGCGAUCAACAAGUUUUUCCUAUGUCGAUAGACACGGGUAAUCUUUUGAACUCGCAUCGUGAUGGGGAUAGAUUAUUGUAAUUAUUAAUCUUCAACGAGGAAUUCCUAGUAGGUGCAAAUCAUCAGUUUGCAUCGAUUACGUCCCUGCCCUUUGUACACACCGCCCGUCGCUGCUACCGAUUGGUUGAUCUGGUGAAUUAUUCGGACUGCCGGCUGAAGGGGUUUCCUCAUCUGCCGGCGGAAAGUCUUGUUAACCCUAUCAACUAGAGGAAGCAGAAGUCGUAACA
rnacentral:rRNA from 1 species